ACCUGCAGUUCCCUACAGAGGCCUCCUCUCCACUGUAGUCUCUGCCAAGUGGUUGUCACAGCAUUAAUUAAACUGGAAGAAUAAAGGCAUUGCAUGUCAUUUUCUAUAUUGAAUGCCUUCACGUUAUGGACGAAUCUCCAUGGAGAAAUCUGGUACAUAACUGAAAACAAAUGCCUGUAUGUGGUAUCUGAGCCUACUACAGAAGAAAGAACACAGGAAAGAAUAUAAGCCAUCUCUCUUGCUUAAAGUGGGGUAGCAGCUGAGUCAAAGCUGGGAUUAUNNNNNNNNNNNNNNNNNNNNNNNNNNNNNNNNNNNNNNNNNNNNNNNNNNNNNNNNNNNNNNNNNNNNNNNNNNNNNNNNNNNNNNNNNNNNNNNNNNNUUGCUUAAAGUGGGGUAGCAGCUGAGUCAAAGCUGGGAUUAUCAGGUAACAAACUGAGGUUCAAUUCUUGGAUUACUCUGAUGUGAUAAGACUGUCUUUCUCUAAACAGUGUUUGUCAAACUAUCAGUUGGGGUCCAUUACUGAAUUGGGAAAUCAGUUGGGUGGAUUACUCAGCCUUUUUAUAAAAUUCAGGAAAUAAAAUAGAAAAUAUCAGAAUGCAUUGCAUAUAGUAGGAACAAGUAUUGUUUUAUAAAACUUCUAUUGUUUCUCACACAUACACAUAUUCCUGUGUGUGUACUGAUUUGCAAUGUAAAAUGUAUUUUUUAUAUGGGUCAGAGUUAAAAAAAAAAGUAAUUUCAAAGCUACUUUCAUAGAGUACGCUCUUCAAUACAAACGAAUUACGAGUUAAAAAUAUGGAAGCAGUAUAAUGAAAAUUAUACUUUAUUAUAAUAAUUUUCUAUAAGGAUUUUGAAGCAAGGAAAGCCCAGGCUUGAGUUGUUUCAAACCAGACUAAACAAAGACAUUCUCAGAAAUUGCGUCUAACUGGCAGAUUAAUAAACAUUUUAGUAAAACUGGUAGAGUUGAAUAUAUCUGUGUAUGAGUGAGUAUUAGCCUUAAUAUGUUACCUUUUGAAGUCCAAACAAAUUAAAUCUACAAAUGUUCAAUUUCUGGUAAUUUAAUAUAAGACAUAGAGGCUAGUGGAUCAGAGACUUAAACAUAGUAGAUGAGAAAAAUACCACUUAUAUUUGUUUUGGAAUAUGCUACUUGAGUAUUUUUUAUUAGAUUUACCUCACUAUCUACAUUUCCUAUUUAACUGUAUUGAGAUGAAUUUCCUUCUCUGAACAUAGACUUUCUGACAGUGGAGAAGGUAGGUGACUCAGAAGCAAACCAAGUGAUUAAAAAUUAUCAUUUUGACAUUAAAAUUUGCAUUCACAAACUAGCUAUUUUAUAAGAGGUUUUUGCAGCUGGCAGAAUUCACAAUUAUGAUAUAAAUAUUUGUGUAUUAUUUUUUCUAUUUUUUACUUGUCUAAUCCAGCUUAAUUCCUAUUGAAGACGUUUUAUCUUAGGAGUACAAAAACAUUUUUAUUCUUAGGAAGUUUUACACAUAAGUCUGCCUGUUGUAGAGUCAGGGGAGGGUGAAUAGCAGCCUGUUCUGACACUUCCAUGUGCACCCACCUGAAUUGAUCCAUAUACUCCGGCCAUGUCCUGAUACUUUUUCAGGCUGUAACCUAAGAACUUGGUAUAGGAUGGGUUAGCAGUUACCUAGAUGUAAGAAAAUAAAUUAAGUAAUAAUGUAUUUUAACUUUAACAUGCUUUGAAGAAAUCUGUACCUGAAAUUCCUUUCAAAGAGAAGCACUCAGUGAAGAGAAGGUGGGAUGAGUGAUGAGGAUAAGGAAGAUAAAGACCAGUGAAAAAAAUCAGUUUUAACAGUUUGGCACCAAAUCUAUAAGGAGAAACGUCAAUUUUUUUUCUUUGACAGUAUUUCUAACUGAACUCAUGGGCAAUCAGUCUUCUAUAAAGUAGCAUUUUAAGAGACUACACCAACAGAUUGAAAUGUGGUUGUUGCUUUUUGAAUUUUCAUUCACUGAAAAUUUAUCUUUCAAUCUGUUCGUCACUUAAUUGUUGGAGAUAUGUAGUACUCUCUUUAAUAAUUAGCAAUCAGAUUUCUUCAAAAGAAGAAAAUCCCUUGCAAAAUUAUCUUUUAAAAAGUUGUUGAUUAAAGAGCACUGUUUCUUGGUAAGAGUGCUGUAGAUUACUUGGCAGCACACAUCUUUAUUCAUGAACACCCUUUGAAAUUCAGUUUUGCAUGUAUUUAAUGU
ensembl:lncRNA